GCAAAUGGACAGAGCCGCGCAUCAAUUGAUGAUACAAGAAAGAAAUAUGAAGCAAGCGCACAACCAACAACCACAAGUUGGCGACAUCCUAGCUCGCCAGUACCACCCCUUCCACCAGCCGGCCGCGAUGCCGCCAGCAUUCAAGCGGUUAUAGCAUC